rnacentral:rRNA from 1 species
GACGAACGCUGGCGGCGUGCUUAACACAUGCAAGUCGAACGGAAAGGCCCUGCUUUUGUGGGGUGCUCGAGUGGCGAACGGGUGAGUAACACGUGAGUAACCUGCCCUUGACUUUGGGAUAACUUCAGGAAACUGGGGCUAAUACCGGAUAGGAGCUCCUGCUGCAUGGUGGGGGUUGGAAAGUUUCGGCGGUUGGGGAUGGACUCGCGGCUUAUCAGCUUGUUGGUGGGGUAGUGGCUUACCAAGGCUUGGAAGGGUAGCCGGCCUGAGAGGGUGACCGGCCACAUUGGGCCUACGAUACGGCCCAGAGUCCUACGGGAGGCAGCAGUGGGGAAUAUUGCACAAUGGGCGGGAGCCUGAUGCAGCAACGCCGCGUGCGGGAUGACGGCCUUCGGGUUGUAAACCGCUUUCGCCUGUGACGAAGCGUGAGUGACGGUAAUGGGUAAAGAAGCACCGGCUAACUACGUG